rnacentral:rRNA from 1 species
UACAGAGGGGGCAAGCGUUGUUCGGAAUUACUGGGCGUAAAGGGCGCGUAGGCGGCCUGUUAAGUCGAACGUGAAAUCCCCGGGCUCAACCCGGGAACUGCGUCCAAUACUGGCAGGCUUGAAUCCGGGAGAGGGAUGCGGAAUUCCAGGUGUAGCGGUGAAAUGCGUAGAUAUCAGGAGGAACACCGGUGGCGAAGGCGCCUAUCUGGCCCGAUACUGACGCUGAGGCGCGAAAGCUAGGGGAGCAAACGGG